rnacentral:snRNA from 1 species
GCACUUACCCGGCAGGGGAGAUUACAUGACCACAAAGGUGGUUUUCCCAGGGUGAGGCUUACCCAUUUUACUAUGGAUGUCUGACCACUGUGAUUUCCCCAAAUGUGGGAAACUCGACUACAUUGUUUGUGGUAGUGGGGGACUGUGUUUGCGCUUUCCCCUG